rnacentral:rRNA from 1 species
UACGAAGGGGGCUAGCGUUGUUCGGAAUUACUGGGCGUAAAGGGCGCGUAGGCGGCUGUGCAAGUCAGGUGUGAAAGCCCUGGGCUCAACCCAGGAUGUGCACUUGAUACUGCGCGGCUAGAGUGUCGGAGAGGAUGGUGGAAUUCCCAGUGUAGAGGUGAAAUUCGUAGAUAUUCGCAAGAACACCAGUGGCGAAGGCGGCUCACUGGCCCGGUACUGACGCUGAGGUGCGAAAGCGUGGGGAGCAAACAGG